rnacentral:rRNA from 1 species
UGCAAGUCGAACGGGAACCUUUUAUUGAAGCUUCGGCAGAUUUAGAUUGUUUCUAGUGGCGGACGGGUGAGUAACGCGUGGGUAACCUGCCUUGUACAGGGGGAUAACAGUCAGAAAUGACUGCUAAUACCGCAUAAGCGCACAGGACCGCAUGGUCCGGUGUGAAAAACUCCGGUGGUAUAAGAUGGACCCGCGUUGGAUUAGCUAGUUGGUGAGGUAACGGCCCACCAAGGCGACGAUCCAUAGCCGGCCUGAGAGGGUGAACGGCCACAUUGGGACUGAGACACGGCCCAGACUCCUACGGGAGGCAGCAGUGGGGAAUAUUGCACAAUGGGGGAAACCCUGAUGCAGCGACGCCGCGUGAAGGAAGAAGUAUCUCGGUAUGUAAACUUCUAUCAGCAGGGAAGAAAAUGACGGUACCUGACUAAGAAGCCCCGGCUAACUACGUGCCAGCAGCCGCGGUAAUACGUAGGGGGCAAGCGUUAUCCGGAUUUACUGGGUGUAAAGGGAGCGUAGACGGAUGGACAAGUCUGAUGUGAAAGGCUGGGGCUCAACCCCGGGACUGCAUUGGAAACUGCCCGUCUUGAGUGCCGGAGAGGUAAGCGGAAUUCCUAGUGUAGCGGUGAAAUGCGUAGAUAUUAGGAGGAACACCAGUGGCGAAGGCGGCUUACU